AUUGAACGCUGGCGGCAUGCUUUACACAUGCAAGUCGAACGGCAGCGCGGGCUUCUUCCUGGCGGCGAGUGGCGAACGGGUGAGUAAUGCAUCGGAACGUGCCCAGUAGUGGGGGAUAGCCCGGCGAAAGCCGGAUUAAUACCGCAUACGACCUGAUGGUGAAAGCGGGGGACCGAAAGGCCUCGCGCGAUUGGAGCGGCCGAUGUCGGAUUAGCUAGUUGGUGGGGUAAAGGCUUACCAAGGCGACGAUCCGUAGCUGGUCUGAGAGGACGACCAGCCACACUGGGACUGAGACACGGCCCAGACUCCUACGGGAGGCAGCAGUGGGGAAUUUUGGACAAUGGGGGCAACCCUGAUCCAGCCAUGCCGCGUGCGGGAAGAAGGCCUUCGGGUUGUAAACCGCUUUUGUUCGGGAAGAAAUCCUCUGGGCUAAUACCCCGGGGGGAUGACGGUACCGGAAGAAUAAGCACCGGCUAACUACGUG
rnacentral:rRNA from 1 species